rnacentral:rRNA from 1 species
UAAAGGUAUUCCGGUAGACGAUGGGGAUGCGUUCCAUUAGAUAGUAGGCGGGGUAACGGCCCACCUAGUCUUCGAUGGAUAGGGGUUCUGAGAGGAAGGUCCCCCACAUUGGAACUGAGACACGGUCCAAACUCCUACGGGAGGCAGCAGUGAGGAAUAUUGGUCAAUGGGCGCAGGCCUGAACCAGCCAAGUAGCGUGAAGGAUGACUGCCCUAUGGGUUGUAAACUUCUUUUAUAAAGGAAUAAAGUCGGGUAUGGAUACCCGUUUGCAUGUACUUUAUGAAUAAGGAUCGGCAAACUCCGUGCCAGCAGCCGCGGUAAUACGGAGGAUCCGAGCGUUAUCCGGAUUUAUUGGGUUUAAAGGGAGCGUAGAUGGAUGUUUAAGUCAGUUGUGAAAGUUUGCGGCUCAACCGUAAAAUUGCAGUUGAUACUGGAUAUCUUGAGUGCAGUUGAGGCAGGCGGAAUUCGUGGUGUAGCGGUGAAAUGCUUAGAUAUCACGAAGAACUCCGAUUGCGAAGGCAGCCUGCUAAGCUGCAACUGACAUUGAGGCUCGAAAGUGUGGGUAUCAAACAGGAUUAGAUACCCUGGUAGUCCACACGGUAAACGAUGAAUACUCGCUGUUUGCGAUAUACGGCAAGCGGCCA